UACAGAGGCCCCAAGCGUUAUCCGGAAUCACUGGGCGUAAAGGGUGUGUAGGCGGCAUUGUUAGUCUUUUGUGAAAGCUCUCUGGCUUAACUAGGGAAACGCGGAAGAAACGGCAAAGCUUUGAGGAUACGAGAGGUAGAGGGAACUCAUAGUGUAGGGGUGAAAUCCGUUGAUAUUAUGGGGAACACCAAAUGCGAAGGCACUCUACUGGCGUAUUCCUGACGCUGAGACACGAAAGCGUGGGAAUCGAACGGG
rnacentral:rRNA from 1 species